GCAAACUUGGUCAUUUAGAGGAAGUAAAAGUCGUAACAAGGUUUCCGUAGGUGAACCUGCGGAAGGAUCAUUAAAGAGUUAGGGUCUACACGGCCUGACCUCCCAACCCUUUGUGUAUUGAACCUGUGUUGCUUCGGCGGGCCCGUCGUGAGAACGACCGCCGGAGGACCGCCGAGAGGCGUCCUCUGGCCCGCGUCCGUCGGUGGCCUACACCUUAAAAAUUCUGAAUGAAACAUGUCAUAAGCCUGAGUUUUUUAAUCAAUAAAAGCAAAAACUUUCAACAACGGAUCUCUUGGUUCUGGCAUCGAUGAAGAACGCAGC
rnacentral:misc_RNA from 1 species